rnacentral:pre_miRNA from 1 species
AUGUAGGGUAGAUCUUUGAGUAGGUGUAAAUUAUUCUUGAACAACAUGUUCCUAGAUAGUUUUCACUUCAACCCAAGCAUCUUGU